rnacentral:rRNA from 1 species
AUUGAACGCUGGCGGCAGGCCUAACACAUGCAAGUCGAACGAGUGGCGGACGGGUGAGUAAUGUCUGGGAAACUGCCUGAUGGAGGGGGAUAACUACUGGAAACGGUAGCUAAUACCGCAUACCAUCGGAUGUGCCCAGAUGGGAUUAGCUAGUAGGUGGGGUAACGGCUCACCUAGGCGACGAUCCCUAGCUGGUCUGAGAGGAUGACCAGCCAAACUGGAAAUGAGAAACGGUCCAGACUGCUACGGGAGGCAGCAGUGGGGAAUAUGGGGGAAUGGGGGAAAGCCUGAUGGAGCAAUGCCGCGUGAAUGAAGAAGGUUGUAGGGUUGUAAAGCACUUUUGUCGAAGAAGCGGUAUUAGACGAGAAAGCACCGGCUAACUACGUGCCAGCAGCCGCGGUAAUUC